rnacentral:rRNA from 1 species
UACAGAGGGGGCGAGCGUUGUUCGGAAUUACUGGGCGUAAAGGGCGCGUAGGCGGCCUGACAAGUCUGCUGUGAAAACUCGAGGCUCAACCUCGAGAUGUCGGCGGAAACUGUCUGGCUAGAGUCCGGAAGAGGAGAGUGGAAUUCCUGGUGUAGCGGUGAAAUGCGCAGAUAUCAGGAAGAACACCUAUGGCGAAGGCAGCUCUCUGGGACGGUACUGACGCUGAGACGCGAAAGCGUGGGGAGCGAACAGG